rnacentral:lncRNA from 1 species
CUUAGCAUCUACAAGAACCAUGUGCAGAAGCUUGGUAGGGCCAUCCUCAAGACCACCGCGAUAAUGCCAGAGACGAGACACGCGAACACGGAUAGACUGCUCGCUAAGCCCAUGAUGCAGAUCGGAAAGAUCAGUGUGAGGCAUCUGAGAAGGAAAAAGUCAAAAGAUAUUACUAUGAAGCCUCUUUAAAGGACAGAUGAAGAAUCUAAAAUCAAUCGACAACUUUGAACGACGGUACAUCGAUCCGAAAUCGCCCUCACAGAGCUACGAGAUGUCAAACACGACAAUGAGAACCUCAUAGAAUGCAGAUAAAAGAGGGAGAACCAGGGUCCAAGCCUAGGGACCAGGAUCGAAGAUUAAAUUAAUCAAAAGAAGCAGAGGAAGCAGAAUGUACGCACCUGAAGAGAGAGGACAGCGAGGACGGAGAGCCAACGGACUUUGAGAAGGCUAACGACCUGAAGAUCCAAGCGGAGACCCAAUUGCAUAAAUACUGGCGGACACGUAGCCCUAAUCUUAAAUGGGCUGGCCCACUCAGUGAGC